UUAUUUUAAUCAUUUUUUUCGUAUUUCAAUUGUUUUUACUUAAUAGGGACAUUGUCGAAAUUUUUCUAUUUGUUGUUGCAUUGCUGAAUUAGUUGUGUUUUCUCAUUGUUUGUUGAUUUUUUUUCUUUUCUAUUGAGUUUAACAUGGUUGACCAAAGAACCCUCGGAGAACUUGUUGCCCCUAAUGUUAAUUAUAAUGCUUUAUGUAUUGAAUUUCCUGUUGCUGUUGUACCUUUCAAAUUGAAAUAUGGUUUAAUACACUUGUAGCCAAUGUUUAAUAGUUUUACAGGUGAAGAUCCGCAUAGGCAUCUAAAAGAAUUUCAGAUUGUGUGUUCUACAAAUUUCCUGUUGCUGUUGUACCUUUCAAAUUGAAAUAUGGUUUAAUACACUUGUAGCCAAUGU
rnacentral:lncRNA from 1 species